CUGAAGGCAGAUGCCUAACAACUGAGCCACCCAGAUGCCCCUGUGCUUUGACUUCUUAAAUAAGAAAGAGAAGUUCUGCCUCGAGGGAAGGUCUGGGCCUUGACCAAGGUGGGAAUGGAUUGUGAGAAGCUAGG